UGGGGAAUUUUGGACAAUGGGGGAAACCCUGAUCCAGCCAUCCCGCGUGUGCGAUGAAGGCCUUCGGGUUGUAAAGCACUUUUGGCAGGAAAGAAACGUCAUGGGUUAAUACCCCGUGAAACUGACGGUACCUGCAGAAUAAGCACCGGCUAACUACGUGCCAGCAGCCGCGGUAAUACGUAGGGUGCAAGCGUUAAUCGGAAUUACUGGGCGUAAAGCGUGCGCAGGCGGUUCGGAAAGAAAGAUGUGAAAUCCCAGAGCUCAACUUUGGAACUGCAUUUUUAACUACCGGGCUAGGGUGUGUCAGAGGGAGGUGGAAUUCCGCGUGUAACAGUGAAAUGCGUAGAUAUGCGGAGGAAAACCGAUGGCGAAGGCAGCCUCCUGGGAUAACACUGACGCUCAUGCACGAAAGCGUGGGGAGCAAACAGG
rnacentral:rRNA from 1 species